UACGGAGGGGGUUAGCGUUGUUCGGAAUUACUGGGCGUAAAGCGCACGUAGGCGGAUUGGAAAGUUGGGGGUGCAAGCCCGUGGCUCAACCACGGAAUUGCGUUUGAAACUGCUUAGCUUGAGUACAGGAGAGGAAAGCGGAAUUCCCAGUGUAGCGGUGAAAUGCAUUGAUAUUGGGAAGAACAUCUGUGGCGAAGGCGGCUUUCUGGUCUGUUACUGACGCUGAGAUACGAAAGCCAGGGGAGCAAAGGGG
rnacentral:rRNA from 1 species